rnacentral:misc_RNA from 1 species
GAGUCUUAAAAACUCCCAAACCCAUGUGAACUUAUCAUAUUGUUGCCUCGGCGUAGCUGGGGAGGCAUGGACCGUUUGCCUAGCAAUCGGGACGCCUCUUCGGCCGCCGGUGGACAAACCAAACUCUGUUUUUAUUGAAUCUCUGAGUGAUUAUUAAAUAAAUCAAAACUUUCAACAACGGAUCUCUUGGUUCU